rnacentral:rRNA from 1 species
AGACCCGAAACCCGGUGAUCUAGCCAUGGGCAGGUUGAAGGUUGGGUAACACUAACUGGAGGACCGAACCGACUAAUGUUGAAAAAUUAGCGGAUGACCUGUGGCUGGGGGUGAAAGGCCAAUCAAACCGGGAGAUAGCUGGUUCUCCCCGAAAGCUAUUUAGGUAGCGCCUCGUGAAUUCAUCUCCGGGGGUAGAGCACUGUUUCGGCUAGGGGGCCAUCCCGGCUUACCAACCCGAUGCAAACUGCGAAUACCGGAGAAUGUUAUCACGGGAGACACACGGCGGGUGCUAACGUCCGUCGUGAAGAGGGAAACAACCCAGACCGCCAGCUAAGGUCCCAAAGUCAUGGUUAAGUGGGAAACGAUGUGGGAAGGCCCAGACAGCCAGGAUGUUGGCUUAGAAGCAGCCAUCAUUUAAAGAAAGCGUAAUAGCUCACUGGUCGAGUCGGCCUGCGCGGAAGAUGUAACGGGGCUAAACCAUGCACCGAAGCUGCGGCAGCGAACGUAUCACUUAAAGCGAUUCAGCGGGUUACGAUUGACGGAGCGAAGCGACGUCAAAGCGUAUACAAAGUCGAGUCGGUUUAAGGAUACGUUCGUUGGGUAGGGGAGCGUUCUGUAAGCCUGUGAAGGUGGCCUGUGAGGGUUGCUGGAGGUAUCAGAAGUGCGAAUGCUGACAUAAGUAACGAUAAAGCGGGUGAAAAGCCCGCUCGCCGGAAGACCAAGG